GAGUUUGAUCGUGGCUCAGAUUGAACGCUGGCGGCAUGCCUUACACAUGCAAGUCGAACGGCAGCAUGAUCUAGCUUGCUAGAUUGAUGGCGAGUGGCGAACGGGUGAGUAAUACAUCGGAACGUGCCCUGUAGUGGGGGAUAACUAGUCGAAAGAUUAGCUAAUACCGCAUACGACCUGAGGGUGAAAGUGGGGGACCGCAAGGCCUCAUGCUAUAGGAGCGGCCGAUGUCUGAUUAGCUAGUUGGUGGGUAAAGGCCCACCAAGGCGACGAUCAGUAGCCGGUCUGAGAGGACGAUCAGCCACACUGGGACUGAGACACGGCCCAGACUCCUACGGGAGGCAGCAGUGGGGAAUUUUGGACAAUGGGCGAAAGCCUGAUCCAGCAAUGCCGCGUGUGUGAAGAAGGCCUCGG
rnacentral:rRNA from 1 species